ACGGGAGGCCGCAGCGGCUCACGGGCCUGCGCGGGGCUGCGCGGCGCCUCCGCCGCCUUCCGCCGGGCCGCGACUUCGUCCCCGGGGGGCUCCCCGGGCUCCGGUGCGGGGGCCCGGCCCGGGCGGCGCUGACUCUCUCCAGGCCCCGCCGCUCCCGCGGCUGCUGCUCCGGGCUGCGGCUCCACUGCAGGCCCCGGCUCCUCCCCGGCCGCCGCUCCGCCUCCCCCGGCUCCCCCCGGCCGCGGCCGCCCCCGCCUCCCCGGGUUAAGGAGGCGCCGGGCCGGGGGACCUGCGGCUGCCCGCCCGCUCUGCCAGUUGGAGGGGAGGAGCUGCCCUCCCGCCGGGAUCGGCCGGGGCCACCCUCGGCACUGGGGCUCACUUCACCGCGCAGGUGGCUGUGGGGCCCUCGCCCCAGGCCGCUGCCAGCAGCCGCCCUUCGCCGCUCCAAGUGGGGGGCAGCGGCUGCGGGGUCAGCCCUGCGACACGGGGGCUCACAAGUGGCCAGCCUGGGUCGGGGUUUGCGCCCUGGGUGACCUGCUUCAGCUCCGAGUCAACUCUCAUCCCAAAACAAUGCAGAUCUCGGACCCUAGUAAUCUACCCUCAAGCCUUCCAGCUAGAACCAUAUAAGAAACUCCAUUUAAUUCACAUCAUUAAUAUGUAUAAAUAUCGGAAGUGGGGGAUCCUAAGAAGAUGCAAUGAGGCUUUUCUCAAUGGUGCCAACCAGCAGGAUGAAGAGGCAGAAGCUGAUUUACAAGUUCCACAUGAACAUGGGAAAGAACUUCUUUACUGUGCAGGUAAACUGUACUGUACAGAUUGUCAACUGGAAAAGGCUGCCCAGAGUGGUUGUGGAGUCUCUCUCAUGUAAGCUACUCAAGAACCAUCUAGACACAAUGCUGCACAAUGCUCUCUGGGAUGACCCUGUUAAAACAAGGAGGCUGGACCAGAUGACCCACUGUGGUCCCUUCCAACCUAACUCAUUCUGUGACUCUCACUGUGCUAUCCCACUUUCACCCAGCUGGCCAAAAACUUGGAGUCUCCUGUUGAUGUGUCUUGGAGGCAGACAAGACAGCAGUCCAUUAUAACAUGAACGGGGACCGUGCAGUAAAGCAUGCUAAAUAAGAGCCAAUACUCUAAAAUGCAUGCGUGAGGAGGAGCAGGUGCUGCCUGGCGUCCCAUACACCUGCAGCCAGUGUCAUAGGCAGAUCAUUUUGAUGUGUCAAUCUGAAAAGCACAACUGAAACAGCCCCCCUCGGGGCCCCUAUCCCAGUUAUCUGAAAGUCGCCCUGUAUUUGAUCAUCUCAUCUUUUUGUGUGUGGUUUCUCAUCUGCAUCCUUCCAAAUGGUAGCACUGCUGGUAAGGCUUGAAGUAGAGGACAGCACACAUACUGAGAGGAAAUGGCAUUUUCUGAGAAAAUAUUUCUUUUUUCUUUCUAGAAACUGUAAUAUGGAAAUUGAGAUAGUAAAGGGGGUGUUUUAUGA